GACGUGCUAAUCUGCGAUAAGCGUCGGUAAGGUGAUAUGAACCGUUAUAACCGGCGAUUUCCGAAUGGGGAAACCCAGUGUGAUUCGUCACACUAUCAUUAACUGAAUCCAUAGGUUAAUGAGGCGAACCGGGGGAACUGAAACAUCUAAGUACCCCGAGGAAAAGAAAUCAACCGAGAUUCCCCCAGUAGCGGCGAGCGAACGGGGAGCAGCCCAGAGCCUGAAUCAGUGUGUGUGUUAGUGGAAGCGUCUGGAAAGGCGUGCGAUACAGGGUGACAGCCCCGUACACAAAAAUGCACAUACUGUGAGCUCGAUGAGUAGGGCGGGACACGUGGUAUCCUGUCUGAAUAUGGGGGGACCAUCCUCCAAGGCUAAAUACUCCUGACUGACCGAUAGUGAACCAGUACCGUGAGGGAAAGGCGAAAAGAACCCCGGCGAGGGGAGUGAAAAAGAACCUGAAACCGUGUACGUACAAGCAGUGGGAGCACGCUUAGGCGUGUGACUGCGUACCUUUUGUAUAAUGGGUCAGCGACUUAUAUUCUGUAGCAAGGUUAACCGAAUAGGGGAGCCGAAGGGAAACCGAGUCUUAACUGGGCGUUAAGUUGCAGGGUAUAGACCCGAAACCCGGUGAUCUAGCCAUGGGCAGGUUGAAGGUUGGGUAACACUAACUGGAGGACCGAACCGACUAAUGUUGAAAAAUUAGCGGAUGACUUGUGGCUGGGGGUGAAAGGCCAAUCAAACCGGGAGAUAGCUGGUUCUCCCCGAAAGCUAUUUAGGUAGCGCCUCGUGAAUUCAUCUCCGGGGGUAGAGCACUGUUUCGGCAAGGGGGUCAUCCCGACUUACCAACCCGAUGCAAACUGCGAAUACCGGAGAAUGUUAUCACGGGAGACACACGGCGGGUGCUAACGUCCGUCGUGAAGAGGGAAACAACCCAGACCGCCAGCUAAGGUCCCAAAGUCAUGGUUAAGUGGGAAACGAUGUGGGAAGGCCCAGACAGCCAGGAUGUUGGCUUAGAAGCAGCCAUCAUUUAAAGAAAGCGUAAUAGCUCACUGGUCGAGUCGGCCUGCGCGGAAGAUGUAACGGGGCUAAACCAUGCACCGAAGCUGCGGCAGCGACGCUUAUGCGUUGUUGGGUAGGGGAGCGU
rnacentral:rRNA from 1 species